rnacentral:rRNA from 1 species
AGUGAACGCUGGCGGUAGGCCUAACACAUGCAAGUCGAACGGCAGCACAGUAAGAGCUUGCUCUUACGGGUGGCGAGUGGCGGACGGGUGAGGAAUACAUCGGAAUCUACUUUUUCGUGGGGGAUAACGUAGGGAAACUUACGCUAAUACCGCAUACGACCUACGGGUGAAAGCAGUGGAUCUUCGGACCUUGCGCGAUUGAAUGAGCCGAUGUCGGAUUAGCUAGUUGGCGGGGUAAAGGCCCACCAAGGCGACGAUCCGUAGCUGAUCUGAGAGGAUGAUCAGCCACACUGGAACUGAGACACGGUCCAGACUCCUACGGGAGGCAGCAGUGGGGAAUAUUGGACAAUGGGCGAAAGCCUGAUCCAGCCAUACCGCGUGGGUGAAGAAGGCCUUCGGGUUGUAAAGACCUUUUGUUGGGAAAGAAAAGCAGCAGGUUAAUACCCCGCUGUUCUGACGGUACCCAAAGAAUAAGCACCGGCUAACUUCGUG